rnacentral:rRNA from 1 species
UACGUAGGGUGCGAGCGUUGUCCGGAAUUAUUGGGCGUAAAGAGCUCGUAGGCGGUUCGUCGCGUCGGCUGUGAAAUCCCGAGGCUCAACCUCGGGUCUGCAGUCGAUACGGGCGGACUGGAGUACUGCAGGGGAGACUGGAAUUCCUGGUGUAGCGGUGAAAUGCGCAGAUAUCAGGAGGAACACCGGUGGCGAAGGCGGGUCUCUGGGCAGUUACUGACGCUGAGGAGCGAAAGCGUGGGGAGCGAACAGG